rnacentral:rRNA from 1 species
UACGUAGGGGGCAAGCGUUGUCCGGAUUUAUUGGGCGUAAAGAGCUCGUAGGUGGUUCGGUAAGUCGGAUGUGAAAUCUCCAGGCUCAACCUGGAGGGGUCAUUCGAUACUGCCGUGACUAGAGUUCGGUAGGGGAGUCUGGAAUUCCUGGUGGAGCGGUGAAAUGCGCAGAUAUCAGGAGGAACACCCGUAGCGAAGGCGGCACUCUGGGCCGAUACUGACACUGAGGAGCGAAAGCGUGGGGAGCGAACAGG